GCAGGUUAUCAACCGAGUAUAUACCUGCAAUCCUCCCCUUGCAGCUGCUGACAGCUCUUAAAACCUGUGUGCUUCGUGGUGUCUAUUGCCCAGCUGGCAACGAUUCCCUUGUGUUUGGUGCAUUAAGUCACACCCAGCUGUGUGGGAUGGCAGAGGCUGGUUCUGGGGUAACGAGGAAACGCAAGGCCUAAACACCUCUGGCUUGUCUGUCCAAGGAUCUGCCUCAGUUGUGGCUCCCAUCCUUCUGAAGAACUCUUCAGCACACUUUUGUGACUCCUGCCUCCAAGGUAUCAUCAGCUAUCCCCUGGAUCUUGCAGUGGAAGAGAUGCUGAACCACCAGCUGUUCCAUAUUCUACACCAUGUGUCUUUUUACCAUGCUCCUCUGAGAACCAUCUCUCCCGUCUCUGUUUCUUUGCAGACAAAAAGGGAGAAAGUGGGAUUGCCUUUGUUCUUUUGCGUGUUAAUAAAAAGGCCGCUUGUGGCUGUGUGCAGUGGCAACUGCAUCACAGAAUCUUAGAGGUGAUUAUUCACAGGUUAAGGAAAUAAUUCCUUUUUUUUGUCACUGCUGCACUGAAUUUCAUAGGCGUGUCUGUGGCUUGAUGCCUAAGAUAUUUAAAGCAGGUUUUAUUCUUACAGGGGUUUUGCACACUAAAGUGUCUGCCCAGGUUUUGUUUCCAAAAGUGAGGUAUAGUGCUGGGUGUUUAAUUUGGUAUGUUACUUGUUCUGUUGUGUAAAUAACUGCAGCUCCCUCCCUGUGCCUGUGUAUUGCAGGGGCAAGCGAGCGCUGGUUAUAAAGGUGGCGAUAAUUAGGAAGAAGCUGUUUAAGCUUGGAUAAAUGU
rnacentral:lncRNA from 1 species